GAUGAACGCUGGCGGCGUGCUUAACACAUGCAAGUCGAACGGAGAGUACGGACGGAAGUGUUCGGCUGGAAGCCUGUAAUUGUGAGUGGCGGACGGGAGAGUAACGCGUGGGCAACCUGACCUAUACAGGGGGAUAGCAGCUGGAAACGGCUGGUAAGACCGCAUAAGUCGGCGAGACCGCAUGGUUUGGCCGGGGAAUGGGCAACCAGGUAUAGGAUGGGCCCGCGUCCGAUUAGCCAGUUGGCGGGGUAAAAGCCUACCAAAGCAACGAUCGGUAGCCGGGCUGGGCGGCCGCAUGGCCACAUUGGGACUGAGACACGGCCCACACUCCGCCGGGAGGCAGCAGUGGGUGCUAUUGCACAAUGGAGGAAUCUCUGAUGCAGCGUCGCCGCGGGAGUCAAGAAGUAUGUCGGUAUCUAAAGCCCUAUCAGCAGGGCAGAUGAUGACGGUACCUGACUAAGAAGCCCCGGCUAACUACGUG
rnacentral:rRNA from 1 species